CUGUGGCGGCUGCAGCCUCCGUGCCUUCCUCAUUGACCUCCACAAAAGACUUGUGCACGACCUUGGACAGAGACAGGUCUGUCUGGGACAUUCCAGAGAAGUCUGCCUUGCCCAGCUCGAAGGCAUCAGUCAUGCCCAGGUUGCGCAGGACACUCUCCAUGUCGUAGCUUUCCUCUAGUUUAAACCGCGGGAGGGACACUUCCACCUCCUCUUCAUCCAUCAUGUCCAGCCUCGUCCAUUCUACGAACUUCUCGUAAGUGAGUUCUUUCUCCACCUAGAGGGAGACAGUUGAAGACUUUAAGACCCAGGGUGCUGCUGCCCAGCAGGGCCCUGUGCUAUGCUGUGGAUGCCAGACACCAGUGGCAGCGUGGCUAUGGUCAGCAGCGCUCCAGUGUUAAACGGCUGACCGCAAAGUAGGGACAGCAGCCACAGCAGACACCCCCGAGUGGCUCCUUGCUAGCACGCCUCGCUCACAGCUUAGCUGUUACCGUUCUCAAGUCAGUGGUCUCGUCCGGAAGCAUGAUGAUCAUAUUCAGUUCCUUGCCAACAUAUGGAAGCACCAAGAUUUGGGUAAAUAUUUCUCCUAUAUAGGUCUUCUUAAAAGUAGAUUGCUUAAACAUCAUUUGCACAGGUUUCUCCUCAUUCUACAAAGAAAACAGAUAAACAUCAAGUUGAAACAAGACCCCACUGACACAUGGGACAAAUGUGUCGGAGCUGGCCACUCUCUGCAGGGAGAAACGCAGCUCGGUUUCUCCCCAGCUUCCAGAACACCCGGCAGCGCCUGCUCUGCCAUCUUCAUUACCUCAACCUCCAGAAACUGGGGUGCCCAGGGCCCAAACCCAACGUGUCUUUCCUCUCAUUGAUCGCAUUCAGUCUCAUGGCUUUAAACACAAUAUCACACCAAAUUUACCUCCCGCCUGGGCCUCUGCCCUGUCCUUGGGCCUCCUGCAUUUUACUGCCCACCUGCACCUAUGUUUGGACAUAAAAGAAACUCCCAGCGCCACCUGUAAUGCGGCACUCCGUAGAUCCUCCAAGUCGGCUCUGUCUACUGCAACUCUGCCCAUCUCAGCUGAGGGCAGUGCCACUGUCCAGUGGUCAAAAGCCCUGGAGUGCCCCUGACUCCUGUCUUUCUCUCACACCCUGUGUCUGACUCACUGGCAAAUUAUAUUGGCUCUACCU
rnacentral:lncRNA from 1 species